rnacentral:tRNA from 1 species
GUUUUCGUAGUGUAUUGGUUAUCACGUGCGCUUUACACGCGCAAGGUCCCCAGUUAUAUCCUGGGUGAAAACA